CGGUUGAUCCUGCCGGAGGUUACUGCUAUCGGAGUCCGACUAAGCCAUGCGAGUCGAGAGGGGAAAGCCCUCGGCGAACUGCUCAGUAACACGUGGAUAAUCUACCUUUGGGACUGACAUAACCCCGGGAAACUGGGACUAAUAUCAGAUAGGUUAUAUUUGCUGGAAUGCAUUAUAGCUUAAAGGUUUACGCCUAAAGAUGGGUCUGCGACCUAUCAGAUUGUUGUGGGUGUAACGUACCUACAAGUCGACGACGGGUGAGGGUUGUGAGAGCAAGAGCCCUGAGAUGGAUUCUGAGACAUGAAUCCAGGCCCUACGGGGUGCAGCAGGCGCGAAACCUUUACAAUGCGGGAAACCGCGAUAAGGGGACUCCGAGUGACAUUACCGAGUGAUGUCUGUCCCAAUGUGCAAAAAGCAUUGGUUAGCAAGGGCCGGGCAAGACCGGUGCCAGCCGCCGCGGUAACACCGGCGGCCCGAGUGGUAACCGUUAUUAUUGGGUUUAAAGGGUCCGUAGCCGGUCUAUUAAGUCUCUUGGGAAAUCUGGCAGCUUAACUGUCAGGAGUCAAGAGAUACUGAUAGGCUUGGGACCGGGAGAGGUGGAACGUACUCCAGGGGUAGGGGUGAAAUCUCGUAAUCCUUGGGGGACGACCGAUGGCGAAGGCAUUCCGCCAGAACGGCUCCGACGGUGAGGGACGAAAGCUAGGGGCACGAACCGGAUUAGAUACCCGGGUAGUCCUAGCCUUAAACGAUGCUCGCUAGNNGUCAGGNACGGUGCGUCCGUGCCUAGUGCCGUAGUGAAAAUGNGAA
rnacentral:rRNA from 1 species